UACGUAGGGGGCAAGCGUUGUCCGGAUUUAUUGGGCGUAAAGAGCGUGUAGGCGGCCUGAAAGGUCAGCUGUGAAAACUCGAGGCUCAACCUCGAGACGUCGGUUGAAACCAUCUGGCUAGAGUCCGGAAGAGGCGAGUGGAAUUCCUGGUGUAGCGGUGAAAUGCGCAGAUAUCAGGAGGAACACCAAUAGCGAAGGCAGCUCGCUGGGACGGUACUGACGCUGAGACGCGAAAGCGUGGGGAGCGAACAGG
rnacentral:rRNA from 1 species